rnacentral:ribozyme from 13 species
UUUUUUUUUUUUUUUUUUUUUUUUUUUUUUUUUAAUUUUAAAUAUUCAUUCCCAAAUCUCGAAAUAAAAAAAAAAGAAGAAAAUCAUCAAUCAA